UUUUCAUUGCUUGUUUAUCUGACGACACAAAUUCAGAGUAUGAGAAACUCCGGCGAGUUCGCGCCGGCAGAAUUGAUCUUCCGCCAACGGCUGUUUCCAACGUCUCGCCGAAGCAACGUCGGAUGGUCAAGGGUGGGAGUUCCUGAAGUAGGAAGACUCGGUAAUGAUCCUUCCGCAGGUUCACCUACGGAAA
rnacentral:misc_RNA from 1 species